rnacentral:misc_RNA from 1 species
GACGAAGGUGGCAACCGUUGUUCGGAAUCACUGGGCAUAAAGAGCACGUAGGCGGCCGGGUAAGUCGGGUGUGAAAGCCCUCGGCCCAACCGAGGAAUUGCGCCCGAAACUGCUUGGCUUGAGGGCAGGAGGGGAGUGUGGAAUUCCUGGUGGAGCGGUGAAAUGCGUUGAUAUCAGGAGGAACACCGGCGGCGAAGGCGACACUCUGGCCUGCUUCUGACGCUGAGGUGCGAAAGCUAGGGGAGCAAACAGG